GCUACUCGAGGUGCUUCCUGAGGCAGCGUUGCACAGUGAGCAGCACUGACUUUCAGUGUCUCCACCCUCUGCAUGGAGACACUGAACAUUCCUCAUAGAGAUGCAUUGAUACUUACAGAAGUCACUAUUAAAGUAUAUGGUAAUUUUUGUAGAUAAAUUAUUUAGAAAGUUUUUCUAACCGUAUAGAAUCAUGUGCAAGGCUUAUAAAAUCAAGGCCC